rnacentral:rRNA from 1 species
AUUGAACGCUGGCAGCAGGUCUAACACAUGCAAGUCGAGCGGAUGAAGGGAGCUUGCUCCUGGAUUCAGCGGCGGACGGGUGAGUAAUGCCUAGGAAUCUGCCUGGUAGUGGGGGAUAACGUCCGGAAACGGGCGCUAAUACCGCAUACGUCCUGAGGGAGAAAGUGGGGGAUCUUCGGACCUCACGCUAUCAGAUGAGCCUAGGUCGGAUUAGCUAGUUGGUGGGGUAAAGGCCUACCAAGGCGACGAUCCGUAACUGGUCUGAGAGGAUGAUCAGUCACACUGGAACUGAGACACGGUCCAGACUCCUACGGGAGGCAGCAGUGGGGAAUAUUGGACAAUGGGCGAAAGCCUGAUCCAGCCAUGCCGCGUGUGUGAAGAAGGUCUUCGGAUUGUAAAGCACUUUAAGUUGGGAGGAAGGGCAGUAAGUUAAUACCUUGCUGUUUUGACGUUACCAACAGAAUAAGCACCGGCUAACUUCGUG